rnacentral:rRNA from 1 species
CUACGGGGGGCUGCAGUGGGGCAUAUUGCACAAUGGGCGCAAGCCUGAUGCAGCCAUGCCGCGUGUGUGAAGAAGGCCUUCGGGUUGUAAAGCACUUUCAGCGGGGAGGAAGGCGGUGAGGUUCAUAACCUCAUCGAUCGACGUUACCCGCAGAAGAAGCACCGGCUAACUCCGUGCCAGCAGCCGCGGUAAUACGGAGGGUGCAAGCGUUAAUCGGAAUUACUGGGCGUAAAGCGCACGCAGGCGGUCUGUCAAGUCGGAUGUGAAAUCCCCGGGCUCAACCUGGGAACUGCAUUCGAAACUGGCAGGCUAGAGUCUUGUAGAGGGGGGUAGAAUUCCAGGUGUAGCGGUGAAAUGCGUAGAGAUCUGGAGGAAUACCGGUGGCGAAGGCGGCCCCCUGGACAAAGACUGACGCUCAGGUGCGAAAGCGUGGGGAGCAAACAGGAUUAGAUACCCCGGUAGUA